CAGUAGCCGCGGGAAUACGUAGGGUGCGAGCGUUAAUCGGAAUUACUGGGCGUAAAGCGUGCGCAGGCGGUUUUGUAAGACAGGCGUGAAAUCCCCGGGCUCAACCUGGGAAUGGCGCUUGUGACUGCAAAGCUAGAGUGCGGCAGAGGGGGAUGGAAUUCCGCGUGUAGCAGUGAAAUGCGUAGAUAUGCGGAGGAACACCGAUGGCGAAGGCAAUCCCCUGGGCCUGCACUGACGCUCAUGCACGAAAGCGUGGGGAGCAAACAGGAUUAGAUACCCGGGUAGUCCCUGUCUCUUAUAA
rnacentral:rRNA from 1 species